AAAUAGCAUAAUGAUAAAAAUCAAUUUGUUAAAUAGAAAAUUUUCAAAAGGCAAAUCUUAGGAGAAACCAUUAUUUCCUAGUUGGGCUAAACAUUGCAGGAUUCCUGUGAGCCCUGUCUUUUUGGAUCAAAGGAAGGCUCUGUUUUGAUUCUUUUGUGAAGUUCCGGAACCCCUUUAGACUAUAAUUGCUUCGCCGAUGGUAUAACCCUAAUUCUUUCCAGUGCAUUUAAUUAUCGUCAUUGAUGAAAUGGAGCAUUUUUGGUGGAUCACUCUAGAUUUGGUUGUAUCCCUAGUUUAUGCUCCUAAACUGAGGAAUUGGCUUCCGAUGACCACAUAGUACAAGACCUGCUGUGUGGACAGAUACGGGUCAAACAUUUUUCCGAUGGUGGCAGAUCGUGGAGGUAAUCGCAUAAUUGCAAUAUGCUUCUUAAAUUCUCAAGUCGAAAGUUGAAUUAUUUGAUUUCUUUUACAUACAGUAUCGCUUGUCCUGUUGACUCGGUUUUUCGUACUGACAAGUUAAGUUCAUGUUCAAGGGGGACCUUUAAAUUCUGUGAUUGGUAUGUAGAGUAGGUUUAAUGGAGAAGAUGGGGAGCAAUGAGGGGUGGAGCAACUAGCCCUGCAGGCUGCAGCAGUAUGCUGGGGAAGGAGUAUGGCAGGGUGUUCAUGUAGAGAGUGGCAUUUUAUUCCCUAUUUUUGGCCUUCUUAAGUGGGAUGUUAUAUUUUCUGAUAUACCAAAUGUCUUCUGCACCAGAUUUCAGGUAUGCUUGAGUUAGUGUGCUACCAAUCUCCCAGAUUUUUGGAAUGUUCUACGUUAUUUACAUUCAUCCAUACAUGGUGUUUUUAUGUACAUAUGUAUUUGCACACUUGGUUUAGGUUUAGUGGCUUUAGAGUUUGCUCAGUAGCAAUGCUUUCUCGAUCGAUGUGAUUUAUUAUUCAUGUUGAAGUGACAGCAUGAAGCAAAAUAAGGUGUUUGGUCAAGUUCAUGAGACAAGGCUGAUAUGAAGUUGAUGUCGAACAGGAAGAGAAAUAAAGAAGACUGAGAAAGGUGAGAAAAGGGCUAAGAUUUGAAGAAGAAAAUAGGAGAACAAAGAAGGCAAAGGUCUUCUCAUCAAUACAUACGGCUCUGCUCAUCAAUCGAUUUGGUAAAAAAUGAAAUCCUAUGUUGCAGAUCGCACCCUUGGAUUUUUUUGAUGAGCAGAGCCAUAUAGAACUCACCUACAGAAUUUU